CGGGGCACGCGACGGUCGCCCCGUCUUCCCAAGGCCUGCGAGCCCAAGCACCGU
rnacentral:ncRNA from 1 species